rnacentral:rRNA from 1 species
GACGAACGCUGGCGGCGUGCUUAACACAUGCAAGUCGAACGGAAAGGCGCUGCUCUUGUUUGGUUCUCGAGUGGCGCACGCGUGUGAAACACGUGAGUAUCCUCCCCUUGGCUGUGGGAUAACUUCAGGAAACUGGGGCUAUUACAGGAUAUGAGCUCCCGCUGCAUGGUGGGGGUUGGAAAGAUGCGGCGGUUGGGGAUGGACUCGCGGCUUAUCAGCUUGUUGGUGGGGUAGUGGCAUACCAAGGCUUUGACGGGUAGCCGGCCUGAGAGGGUGGCCGGACACAUUGCGACUGAGCUACGGCACAGACUCGUACGGUGGGCAGCGGUGGAGAAUAUGACACAGUGGGCGGAAGCCUGAUGCGACGACGCCGCGUGCGGGAGAACGGCCUUCGUGUUGUAAACCGAUUUCGCCUGUGACGAAGCGUGAGUGACGGUAACGGGUAAAGAAGCACCGGCUAACUACGUG